rnacentral:rRNA from 1 species
CGGCGGACGGGUGAGUAACGCGUGGGUAACCUGCCUCAUACAGGGGGAUAACAGUUGGAAACGGCUGCUAAUACCGCAUAAGCGCACAGUACCGCAUGGUACGGUGUGAAAAACUCCGGUGGUAUGAGAUGGACCCGCGUCUGAUUAGGUAGUUGGUGGGUAACGGCCUACCAAGCCGACGAUCAGUAGCCGACCUGAGAGGGUGACCGGCCACAUUGGGACUGAGACACGGCCCAA